UACGUAGGGUGCGAGCGUUAAUCGGAAUUACUGGGCGUAAAGCGUGCGCAGGCGGUUCGUUGUGUCGGCGGUGAAAUCCCCGGGCUCAACCUGGGAAUGGCCGUUGAAACUGGCGAACUGGAGUGUGGCAGAGGGGGGUGGAAUUCCGCGUGUAGCAGUGAAAUGCGUAGAGAUGCGGAGGAACACCGAUGGCGAAGGCAGCCCCCUGGGCUGACACUGACGCCUCAGGCACGAAAGCGUGGGGAGCGAACAGG
rnacentral:rRNA from 1 species